rnacentral:rRNA from 1 species
AAAUUGAAGAGUUUGAUCAUGGCUCAGAUUGAACGCUGGCGGCAGGCCUAACACAUGCAAGUCGAACGGUAACAGGAAGCAGCUUGCUGCUUYGCUGACGAGUGGCGGACGGGUGAGUAAUGUCUGGGAAACUGCCUGAUGGAGGGGGAUAACUACUGGAAACGGUGGCUAAUACCGCAUAACGUCGCAAGACCAAAGAGGGGGACCUUCGGGCCUCUUGCCAUCAGAUGUGCCCAGAUGGGAUUAGCUUGUUGGUGAGGUAACGGCUCACCAAGGCGACGAUCCCUAGCUGGUCUGAGAGGAUGACCAGCCACACUGGAACUGAGACACGGUCCAGACUCCUAUA